GCAUACACACAAUGGAUAGUUCAGUUGGUAGAGCAUGAGACUCUUAAUCUCAUGGUCAUGAGUUCGAACCCCAUGCUGGGCG